CAGUCGCCGCGGUAAUACGGAGGGAGCUAGCGUUGUUCGGAAUUACUGGGCGUAAAGCGCACGUAGGCGGCUUUGUAAGUCAGAGGUGAAAGCCUGGAGCUCAACUCCAGAACUGCCUUUGAGACUGCAUCGCUCGAAUCCGGGAGAGGUGAGUGGAAUUCCGAGUGUAGAGGUGAAAUUCGUAGAUAUUCGGAAGAACACCAGUGGCGAAGGCGGCUCACUGGACCGGUAUUGACGCUGAGGUGCGAAAGCGUGGGGAGCAAACAGGAUUAGAGACCCCAGUAGUCCCUGUCUCUUAUAC
rnacentral:rRNA from 1 species